UGCUCCCAGCCUGUUUGCCCGCCCUCGCAGAGCUGCAGGACACAACACACUCAUGCCUUGGUUAGCUUGCACCACACAGCAGCACCCAGUACAAUGAUGAAGAAGCUUAUAAAUACAAAAUACCACCAGUAAACAUAGCGGUGGUCUUCUGAAUGCAGUUUAUUCUUGAUAUUCACUUGCACGAGAGUGAAAGAAACAGUUGAGAAAUAUUCCUUUUGCUAGCUUCUGCUAUUAUAAUUUAACAGUAAUGACAUUUGUACAGGUAUACAUGGGAGUUGUCAUUCUGAAGUAUGGAAUAUUGUCUUGUACGGUCAUGGGUUUGGCUUGAAGUCGCCAUUAGCAAAGAGAUGUCUGCCACGCACACACUAGCCUGCACAUGCACUAGUGUUCCCUGAUAAAGAGGUCCAGUCCUUCUCAUUUUUAUUACCAGAAGUAAAACGAGAUAUUGCAGGAUGUAGGGAUAGCAAUUAUGUAAUACUCCUUACUUAUUUACUCAUAAUUUGGAAGUUCUUCUAGACACUACGCUUAGUUUUGAAUAUGCAGCUUUAAUACUGCUUUUAUUCAGUUGAAAGAUGCAUCACAGAGGGAAAUAUCUCAAAGCUUGGUACAUUAACCCUUAGACGGUGGCAGUAUUUGAAGAGUAGCUCCCCCAAAAUGAAUGGUGUAUAUAUAGUCACUGCCGACCUUAGGACCAUAGCAUAAAUAUAGUUACGCCGCAUAAGGGUGCAGCCACACUGCACGCAGUGUGCUGGGAGGGUAGAGGGUAGCGGGACGCCUAGCGGGUCAGAGGCAAGAACAAACACAUGCUAUCUAAUAAUAGAAGUGGCCAUACAGGAUGCGGGUAGCGGGUAAGCUUGGAGGAAACCCGCUAACCGCAUCCUGUAUGGCCACUCGUAUUAGAUAAUGUGUUUGUUCUUGCCUCUGACCCGCUAGGCGUCCCCCUACCCUCUACCCUCCCAGCAAACCGCAUGCAGUGUGGCCGCACCCUAAGAGAGGUUUUAACUAUCGUCUGUAUAUGGAUUCUACCGCAAUCUUGAAGUGUUGUUAUAUUUCUGCCAUACAAAACUGAAUGACUGAAAUUUGAACUGAAAAUUGAAAUUUAGCACUGAGUAUAUGCUUCAACUGUUGUUCUAUUCUUGCAUUCUAUAGUGCGUGUUGAACAUAAGUCUCCUUCACAGGGAGCUAUGUGUGGUGCAUGAACAACUGUGUAUCAGGUACUGUGGAUGUGAGGCGAGCGCAGCGGGUUAUUUGUUGAUCACUGUUCCUUCCUGCAAGGUUAGUCUGCAAAACUGCUCUCCACAUACAGUGAACUUUAUUUCAAACUUGAGGCCUGAAAAUCUUUGUUCGUCAGACUAUUCAGUACUUCUUUGCUUUAAAGGAAAAAUGCAAAUGGGAUGCAGGAGUUAAUUAUUGAGAUUUUUAAAUAUUAUACACCAAGGGAAAGAAAGUUGGACCAAAUUUGUGUCAUAGUGAAAUCAUAUUGGCGAGAUUGUUUUGCUGUUGACACCCGCAGGUCCUUCCCUCCACUCCGCUCAGCCAGUCCCAACACCUGUCUCUUCGUCUCAUAUAUAUAUAUAUAUAUAUAUAUAUAUAUAUAUAUAUAUAUAUAUAUAUAUAUAUAUAUAUAUAUAUAUAUAUGUAUAAUAUUUUUUUUACAGUAAAGGAAACAGCUCAAGGGUAAAAAAAGGAAAAUAAUGAAAAAAGCCCAAAAAUCACUGCUUCUACAAAAAGAGUUAAGAGGAGUGACCAAAAGAGAGGUCAAUUUAGGGGAAAGAGGUAUCCUGAUACUCUCCUCUCGAAAGAUAUUACCUAUAGCUAACACAUGAGGGGAACAGACGGGCGUUGGGACUGUGGGGGGGGGGGGGGGGGGGUCCAGCGGAAGCCAACACAAAAAUGAUCUCGCCAAUCUGGUUUCAUUAUAGAACACUUUGGUGGAUCUUUGUUGUAGGCAGUCAAGGGAAGGAAGGGCGUGACCUCUGGUGUGUCCGAGUGGUCUUCACACACUAGGUACUGGUUUGUUUUCCUUGCUAUGAUUGUACUUGCAGGAAAUGGAUGUCUAUGCAUUUUAUUAUACACUAUCAGCUACCAAACCUCGGAAAAUUAUUGUUCUAACAGCAAAGUAAUAUCUAUUUUGCAUUGCCUACGUAAUUAACCUGAGGAAAACACAGUAAUACGCAUAUAUGAACCUAUAAGCUUGUGCACUGAACUCAUCUACAUAAUCAAACAUAAAUGAUCCCUAACCCUAAAGCAAACUCCCAUAAGUAGAUGCUACCAACCAAGACCUACAAGCACUCCAUGCAUUAUAACUGUAAACAGUCUAAUUUCUACACCACUGUUUACUUACGAGAUGCAUGUGUGUUCCUCUUUCAAAGCCAUGCUCACUGCUCUCCUAACACUUUUCCAAAUAAUAUUGAUUCAGUGCAAUGAUUAACUUAGUGAUUUAAGUACAUGCCUGAUCACUAAACUAAACUGCUAUUACUGGAAAUGUCACAUGUUGGGUGAUGUCGUCUUGAUUGCCAGAAUACAUUAGUGUGAGUGGCGGACAGUGUACACUAAUACUUGUGUGAGCCUUGUGCUGCAGGAGGGACUAGUCUGGCUGGUGAAGAAGCAGGGCAAGAGACCCUGUCAGUCUGGCAUGGUAUUAUUCCCUUAGUCUCUUGCUUUAGCUGCUGUGUCUUCUAAGACAAUAUUUGACAAAUGUCUGGUGGCAUCUCAAACAGGAGAUGCACAACUACCCUGGCCGUGCCAACAAAUAAAUCAUUUAAAAUAAACAACAAUUAUUACAUUUUCAUAAUGAAAUUACAUUUCUGCAAGUUUGAAGAUGUAUUAGUGCAAGAAGCUAAAUAUGAUAAAAAUAUGCCAAUCUCAGUGUACUUAUAAAGCUGACAUCUGGAAAUAGCUGCAGAAGUAGUGUUGUUAAGUAGCGCAAUUAUAUAUAUAAAUAUAUAAAACAAUACCAUAUCCUAAAUAAGACAAAUCAAUCUUAUUAAUGUGGUGCUGAAUCACACAUUUGAAUGGGGAACAAACAUAAAAAGUUGGGCCACUUUGAUGAAGAAGGAAUGGCUUGUGCCGAGACUAGAGGACAGGAAGGCAACUUAUGGACUGGAGGGAGCCACGAGAAGCUUGGUUGUUCGCCAAGCAUCUCAGCCAUGGACAGGAGGUGACAACCUUGGGACACUAAGAGAGAGGUGCAGUAAUGCAACUUACUCUAUGAAUCACUUAAAAUACAUUUUUCAUAGAAGUAAGCAAUUGAUACAGAUUUUUAAGUUUUCUCUUCAUAAUAAUGGGCUUGUAAUAACUGAUUUAUGGUAAAUCUUAAAUGCUUUGCUGAGAGACAGGCCACAAGGAAAAGUCCCGUCCACCUCCUUCCUGAGCCGUGCUCCUGCUCAUUAUUUCAACUUAAACAAGAGGUGAGUGAAGGCGGCAAAACAAUGAUAAGUUCUGCUCACAGUGUGUGAGGGACAACGGUCAGGAAAAGCAAAUUUUACACAUCAGUCAAUGUGUUGGUUGAUGUCAGUGCAGUGAAACUUUGAUUGUAAGAUACAUUAUUUUCUUAUACAACUUUAUUAAAGCUUUUAUUAUAGUUCAGUAAAGUUAGGUAGAGAAAAUAUCUCAGACAAAUUCAUUUCAUUCUGAGACAGAAUGUAAAUAACAUAAACAAGCAUAUAUUAGUAUCAGUGUGACUUUGUGCUUGCGUAAAGGAUGAAGGUACACCUGCGAAGCAGAUCACUACAUGGUGCUUUUAGUUACCUGAGAGCUAUGUAUAAUUAUAUAGAGACUUACAUAUACAAAACAGUAUUUCAAUAAUAAGAAACUCAACAAAAGUAACUAAACAAUGAGGUCUUAAAUAAACUUAAAAAAAUAAAUUUUAAAUAAUAAUCCAUAUUUAAUAUCUUUCAAUCUCAAGAGUUUCAUCAUGAACUUUGUCCCGGCAACACCUUGAGGUGCAGCUCGGCACACAUCCUGAGCCGCAGCCCGGUGUGUCAGUGUGUGUGGGUGACGGUGUGACCACCACCUGGCUGUGUUAGUGUCGGGAGUCUGCCAGCCGGCCACCACAAGGACUCAGCCUCAUUGGGCCAGUCUUAAAGUGACAGGACAAGCUAUUAUUAAAUACUAAAGAGAAUAUACAUAAAAUAUAUUGCAUAUAUUCCUAUAAAAAUAGAAAUAAAUAUAAGAUGCCACUAAGUAUAAAUGAAUCACAGAAACUAUAAGGUUUACUAACUAGUAUGGAAGGCGCUAAAAUAUGCCGUGCCACAAGGGAACACCAUCCACUGUGAAGAUGUUCCCUUCAAGGAGGCGAGGAAGCUACACGGCAGCAAAGGCCCAAACCACCCGAGACAGAGGCAGUCUUAAAAAACAUUUGCAUUGAAAACAUGCAGGGUCAAAAUAAAUGAGUUUAAGACUUUCUCUAAAAAGUAACAACAGUUUGUCAUGUCUGGUGAAUGUAUUACACGCAUACAGCGUGUAAUCAUAAUUGUCUGUGAGUAUCUGGUGCCGACUCUGCUCAGUCAAUUAUAAAUGUAUAACAUCACAUGUGUAAUGUAUGGUAAACGUUUGAGGCAAAAACAGUCACAGAAAAUUCCACAUGAAUGUUCUUGAUCCAGUCUUUCCAUCAUGACACACUUAUUCUGGCCGAAGCUUCUUGGCCAGUGACUGCAGCACAAACACAUCAACCUCACAGCUAUGGAUAAUAACUUUACACACACACAUGAUGAUUACAUGGACAAGGUUGAUACUCCUGAAACGCUGCAGGGACGAAGAAGUUUAUAAAAUUUCUGUGACCUUGUGAUGCACGUCUUUGAUCUAUGGACAGAACAGAGUACGACUGGGUGAAAGUCUUCCCACCACUGUGACGGAUUUCUUUACUGGUAACUUUCCUAAUACAAGUCAUACAUGGGUGCCGUCAAGGCUUAAUGCAAUGUGAUUAAAGUUAAAGUUCAAUAAAAACCUAAAACCAAACGUCAGGAUAUUCUUGGUCACCAGAAUGUUAAUUUGUCCACUAUUCCAAUCAGUAUUCACAUCAAAAGGAAAAGUAGCCUGGAAAAUUGAGCCAUGGAAUGCAAAUGAACAAAUGUCAAAAGUUAUAAUGAGGAAUGAAAAUUAAAAAGUAAAAAUUUAAGCUGAUGAAAGAAAAUGAAUGACUAAUAAAUAAGCUGAGAAAUAAAAAAUGAAAAGUUACUAUUGCCACUUUCACUCACACUCACUCAAUUGAGAUUGAUAAACAUAAUUUGCCUUGAUAAUCUUAUUUCCCACAGUUUAACUUUCAAGAAUAUCUUUUUCCUGAUAUGAAUACAAACUGAAACGGCACACUGCUGAAUCUCGACCCCACAUCAACCACCCCAGUAGUGAGGGUUCCGUACAGACACUUGAUGGACUGGCCAGACGAGUUGCAUUAGCGACUAGCGAGGUUACUGCUGCCCCAUAUCAACCACCUCAACAGCGAGGGUUCCGUACAAACACUUGACAGACUGCCCAGCCAAGAGUUGCAUUAGCGAGGUUACUGCUGCCCCAUAUCAACCAUCUCAACAGCGAGGGUUCCGUACAAACACUUGACAGACUGCCCAGCCAAGAGUUGCAUUAGCGAGGUUACUGCUAAGUUCUUAAUUCAAAGACUAGAUUUGUGAAAGCUGUUUUUGUAUCACUUCAAAACAAAAGCUGUCAGCAGGUGACACUGUACAUCCACUCUCAAGGCAAGUCAGAGUCAGUUUUAGAAAGUCUGAUUUGUAAGUUUCCCUUGAACAUUAUAAAAAAAAAAUCCCUAUUCUCAAAGAUGUGCAAGAUUUUUUUUUGUAGAAUUUCUGAAUUAGCUACCUACUUAUUCUUAGUUAUCUAUUAUUUUUUUUCACAUAUGACAGGCUCGUCAUAUUUUGAAGUGGUAAUGCCAUAAGAGCCUCUGGGCCAAUCACAUUUACCAAACACUUCUGGUUCCCGGCAGUUCACCGGAUGGAAGUGUGAGUGGAAGUAAUAUUCAGCCAAAACUUUGAAGCCAUGCUGAGCCGACCAUGACGUGAAUGUACAGCUGCACCACACACACCACAAGUCUCAUCCUCUUUACUAAGUACAUGUAUGUAUAUAUAACUUAUACAAAUAAAAGAUAUGCACUUGAAUGUAAUUACUAAAUCUUUAGCAAUAAAUAAACAAAACAAGCAAAAAAAAGACCGCACAUGAUCACAGCUACUGUAAGAAGCAAGACAACUGUUUGCUAGAGCUUUCUUGUCCUGCCUUCAGUGUGACAACUCUGCCAGAACACGACCGUCAAGGUUUUUAUCUUGUUUGAACACCGAACACCUGGUUCACCGAGCCUUGGUGAGGGAACAGCCACUCGCCAUGCCUUACACCUGUCACUCAACACAGCUCACUCUGACAUGGCAGGACAAGCUCCACAAACUCAUCAACUUAAAGAAUAUCAGUAAAGCUAAAUCAUUAUAAUACCUGCAGCUAACUGAACAAAUUAACCUGUUAGGUAAAGGUAUUUGUUCCAUACAAUGUGGGCUUUUUACUAAAAUAAUAUCUUCCUAUAUCACAGUAAGCAGCAUACAAUAACUACAAAGCACUCACCACA